AAUGUGUACACUGUAAAAAAUAAUUCAGUGGCUUUGUAAAUAUCACAAAAAUAAAUUAUUAAAAUAACUUAAUAAAAUCUCUUUAUGUCACUAAGUUGAUUUUUUGAGUUAGACAAACCAAAAUUAAUGACUAAAAAAUAAACAUAUAUUUGUGUGUAAAAUGUACAGAUAUUAUUUAGUUGUAUACAUCAAAUAAAAUAAGUAUUUAACUAACAGAUUAUUUCUUAUAGAUAUUCUUAAUAUUUUUUGUAAAUUUGAAUCAAUAUAUUUGAGAAUGUCACACUUAUAUAUUUCAGCUUUCAAAACUAUUAUAAUUGCUCAUUUCAAGUUAACAUAGGUAUUUAACAUCAACAAAAAAAAUAGUAAAUUUCAUGCAUAACUUUAACUAUGAUUUACUGAAUAUUUUUGGUGAAACAUUAUUACAUUGUAUUAUUUGAGUAAAUGUAGGCAAAAAAAAUCAUUAAAUCAGAUGUAAAUUUAAAAAUCACAAAGCCAACGGUUUUUUAAUCAGCAGCAGAAGAAACAGCGCCUCUUGCAGGAAGAUAAACAACCUCAAAACUCCUCAAAAAUCCUGGUACAAGUGCUGGUGGUCCACCUGUCCGGGUUCAAGAGGUGUGGAUUCUGCAUGCUGUGAAUUUGAGAGACCUCUCAGAGUUUAUUUAGCUGAUUGUUUUUGUAACAUGUACAAUGUUUGCCAUUUUCAAUAAAACAACGUAUACAAAUU